UACGGGGGGGGCAAGCGUUACUCGGAAUUACUGGGCGUAAAGCGUGCGCAGGCGGUUGGGCAAGACCGGUGUGAAAUCCCCGGGCUUAACCUGGGAAUGGCAUUGGUGACUGCACGGCUAGAGUGUGUCAGAGGGGGGUAGAAUUCCACGUGUAGCAGUGAAAUGCGUAGAGAUGUGGAGGAAUACCGAUGGCGAAGGCAGCCCCCUGGGAUAACACUGACGCUCAUGCACGAAAGCGUGGGGAGCAAACAGG
rnacentral:rRNA from 1 species